UCAAUUUUAUUAAAAUUAGGAAAAAAACACAACAAUAAUUGGACUAAAUUAUCAAUAAAUGCCGAAAAUUUUCAAAUUUACCAGUCUUUUAUAGAAAAUUUACAGGAAUAGGUGGAUUUUAUGAAUAUUUUACCAUUUCCCAGUUCAAUCUGGAUAUGACAACCAUUAGUUUUCCUCUUAAGAAUUACUUCAUAUCUAUCUCUAGUUUCUCAAGCAUUAGUUGUUGUUUGCUCUACCUUCCCUAAAUGCUUCCUUCUCCUCCAAUCGUCGAGAUGCAAUGGGGUUAGAUCGUCUGCUUGUGGAAGCUUUCUCACACUUUUGUUGGAGAUUCUCUUCUCCUCUCCCUACCGAGGCUCGCUCUUUUAGUUUCCAACCAAGCCUAUGAUGUGUUGUUUUCUUUAAGUAUCAUCUUCCACCUUGUGAGCCACCGGAUGGGAUGUGAUAGAGCUGCAAUGUCAAUGAACUAGAUCUCAAGGUUUGAUGGUUGGAGCCAUGAUGGAUUAUUUGGUCCCGACUUUUGUCAUCUUCCAUCUGAUCGACUUCAUGGUGGUUUCAGUACUUGCUUUUUUUUAUAUGUUGGAGCAAAAACACCAUAGAAGGGUUUUCUUAAGCUGGUUUUUCAUAUUUUUACUGCAAAUCGAGAACCCGAAGCAAGUUGAGGAAAAGAAAAAAGUAGUUGAUUAGUCCCUGAAUUUUCACAAAUUUUACAAAUCGACCCAGAUUGACGUGGAAGUAUACGGAGGAUCGGAUCAACACAGAGGAUCACACUAUCCAGAUUAUCUCUGGUAGCUUUUGUAAAUUUCCUUUUUGAUUUAUAUGGCAUGUAUAAGGCUUGGUGAUUAUAUAAAUAUUAAGACUUGUUUAGUGAAUAUAUAUUAAAGUAAAGAAUGAUGACUAAGUUAAAUAGUAUAAUUAUAAUAGAAGUAUAAUUUUGUAUUAAAUUGAUUGAAAUGAAUUGGUUGGUUGGAUUGGUCUCGGUUUUAAAAA